CACAAAUAUCCGUCGGAUAUCCAGUUUAGAUCCGAACGUCCUGGGCCCACACUGGUCAUUCAGCGGACGUACAUGGGACAUCCUUUUUUGACAUUAAAGAAAGUUCCGUUUAUUUUGUUCCUGUGGAGGUCCUCUGGAUGUUCCCCUUUGGAUGCGGGAAACGUCCAGUGUGUGUUAUCCCUUGGUCGUCCUUUGAAUGUAGGAAUCUUUUCUACAAAUAAUGUACGUUAAUGCGACUAUUUUUCAUUAGAAUUUCAACGAUGAUAUGCUGUGAAUAUAUUGCUAACAUCGCAUGCACGUGGGCAUGGUGCUUAACUAUUAAGUGGACUUCUAUGGGCAAAGAAGAAAACGAAAUUAAGUACAAAUAAUUCUUCCAGAACUAAAGUUUCCUCUCGAUGUGUCCUGAGUGAAAAGGAAUUGUGAACCCAAAUCACCAGCUAAUGAACAUUACGCGGAUACCGUUUUAUCAUGCUUUGGCCAUAUUACGUAAUGAACAAUUGCGGAGGGCGUACAGAGGCCUGCCUCCAAGCCCCCUGAAUAAAACUAAACGAUAGCCAUAUUUUGCCGAGCCAGCCAGCCGGCGAGGAUGUCCGCGCUACAGUGUACUAGAAUCUUCUAUUCACUAUAUCCGCGCCUCGAGCGCGCGUCGGCGUCGUCAUUUGUUUUCUUGAUUUUUUUUUUCUUUUUUUUCCGCUGGCGUCAUGACAUUCGCGGUGCUGCUCCCCGCGAGCAACGCCGCGAUUACAAAGAGGGAACUGAGAGGGCGAGCAGCGAGGAGGGUGACUAGCGCCUCGCCACCGGCGUACCCCUCUCCCCUCGUUGUGCGCCUCGCACUGCUCACAGCCUCGCGUUGAUCCCGCCGCCAUACAGAAGGCACGUGGCGCCUUUAUGUGCAGUUUUGUAGCUGUGGUCGUAGUUUUGCCGCUGUGUACGUUGGCGUUGUAACAGGUGUUCUGUGGUGCCGUUCGGUGUCGUGCAAAGAGCUCUCCUGCAAAAAUCUGCUGCAACAGUUUCCCCAAGGAAGCACAACAGAUGUUGAAGAUGCCAUCAAAUCAUGGCUCAGACAUGCACCGGAAAGGGCAUCAGGCACCCUCGAACACAAGGAGCCUGCAACGUCUGUUGAAGACUCAAAUGAAGAUGCUGAAUGAGUACCUUCCUUGCCCGCUGCACUCCAAUCCCAUGCCAGUGCCAUGACAUUCGUGUGCCCGAUUACAGCAGCUACCAAGUAGCUAUAGAUAGUACCUUCACAGCAUCAUUGUUACUUUUUCUCUUCUUAUUUUAGCAUAUGUGUUAAGCAAUGUGUGUGAUCAAUGCUCACUAUCCAGGAAGCAUGUUCACUUUCAGUAUGAGAUUCACUUGUGUGGGCUUUCCACUUCAUUUUUCUUUAUGGCCGGUUCUGAUCAUUAGCAGUUCUAGUCAACAGGUGAUUUUGAGGGACAAAUUAGGAUACUAAUUUGUAUGUUUGUUUCUCUUUUUUCUAUGUGUUAAGUGAAGCAAUGUGUCCACUCAGUGCUUAUUAUUUAGGAAAUGCUUUGUUUCUUGAUAAGAGGUUCAUUUCUGGGAGCUCUUAGCUUCGUCUUUCGCUUGGCAGCUCAUUAUUCAAAAAGCACAUUCAUUCUCUCCAUAUAGAUUUAAUCCACGGGUUAAUUCUUACUCUUUUAGACUUUGUUGUUAUUGAUGUUCAGUAGUUCCCUCAGCAGUUUUUCAACGCACAUUUUACUCAUGUUGAUUAGUGUGCUUAGUGGUGGUUGCCUUUAAGCAUUUCUAAAAUUCAGUCUUCAUGAUCCCAUCUGCUUUUUUAGUUACUUGCAUUGCAAUUUUUGUGUUGCUGUUGGACAUUUUCAGUUGUUUUGCAGAGUACUAACACUAUUGUGAUGUGUCUCAGUUGAUUAAGUACACAUUUAAUUACAUUUGCCUUGUAUUCUUCUCAGCGUGAAAAGUGUUCGGUGCUGUAUAGUAGUUUUCUUAGUAAUUUCGUUUGCAAAUUUCAUGUUGACGCCAUGUUUUAUGUACAAAAAAUGACGUGGUGACCUAAUAAGUAGCAUGGCCGCUUGUGUUGUUUGAGCUGCACCUGAUUAUUUUUGUCGUCACGUUUAUGUAAUGACAGCUUGAAGCAGCAUUUUUAGUCAUUUUAUAUGGGUUUUGUAGCAAUAUUGGCAAACUAUUUUGCACUGCUGUUAGUCUACUGUGCUCAAAUAUUUUGAUUUUGUGUUGCAAUAAAAUAGUUUAACAAGAUUUGUCUUGUUGAUUAUGCAUUGAGCUUUGUUAUAAUGUGCAGGACAUAUGAACAAAGCUCUUGCCGUGGUUUGUGAAGUACUAUGAUUUUAGUGUAUGCAUGGUAUUUUUGCAUGUCUGGCUUAGUGGCUGUUAUUCUAUAACGUAAAGUUUCAGCUUUCCCGAAAUACACAGGCACCCAGAUAUGGUUAGUUUAUUUCUUUUGUACUGCCUUGUAUCCUUUGGCAAAAGUUCUCUUCCCAGUUCAGUGCACUAGACUUGGUACUUUGCUAAGCCAUGUGGUACAGUUCAUGCUGUGGGCCCUGCUGAUGAAGCACGGCAGGCUGAUGACAAGCCUUGUUUUUCAGGGUAAUAAAGCCCCACUACUCGCAUUAGUGUGGCUUCUUUCUGUACCUUAGUCAAGGAUAUUCAUAAAUUACUGGUAUAGCUUGCACAAAGCUUCACUAAGGAUUUAAAAGGAAUGUGCCUCCAAACGUCCAGUGGACAUCCUGCAAUUGAAAAUAUAGUCCUUCGGACAUCCACUGGUCAUUUUUCUUUACAAAUGUUCGCAUCUAAACAUCCAGUGGACAUCCUGCACUUUACAGGGUCCUAAAGGUAUACUAUUUAGGACAUCCACUGGACGUUUCGUAUAGGAAAAGCUUAUUUUCAAAUAUCCUGUGGACAUCCGAAUAUCCGAUUUUGAUGUACGAUGGACGUUUUUUGGAUGUGCUUUUUCUUUGCGUCGGACGAUCCUACGGACAUCCGUAGUACAUCAUUGGGACUUCUGGGGAUAUCCGACGGACGUCAAAAUAUCCGUUGUUGGAUGUCCACUGAACGUUCGCUGGAGAUCUGUGGUCC